UACGGUCACUGAAUCUAGAAAGUACUGUAUCCCUUCAGAUCUGCAAAGUUAACCUAGAUAUCGCUCGAUCAGUGCCAAGGCUAAGGAUAACUUGGGAAUUCCGAAUGCUGUAGUU